rnacentral:lncRNA from 1 species
AAGCCAACGCGAUCCACAUCGGAAGAACCACCAUUUUCCACGCUUCCAACGGCUAAAAGGGUUCUUCCGGGUUUUAGUAUUUCUCAUUGUUAUAUUUGCUUCUUAAGAGCUUUCAAAUCUUUUGUAAAACAUUGAUUAUUGUGCUUGUUCUAGUCAAGGGACUUGGAACAAGGGAUAGGCGUCCCAAGCCUAGGUUAAAUUGGGGGUUGUAGGGUUCGUUGUUAGCCCGGUGUAAAACAACGAGUUGGGUAGUGCACUCGCAAAACUACCGGACUGUAAUCGCGGAUUAUAGUAAAAUUUCCAAAGGUAUUUGGGGAGUGGAUGUAGGAGCAGUGGAAGCUCCGAACUACUAUAAAUCGUUGUGUUUGCGAUUGACUGUGCGUAUAGCUUUAACUUUACUUUAGCACAUACACUUGUGUGUAUUUGUUUUAAUUAGUCAAAAAGUUUUAAAACACCCAAUUUACCCCCCUCUUGGGUGACCA